UAAAUUCUUUUUCUGAAAUUAAAAAUUGAAUUGUGGGCAAUAAGUGUUUUAAGGUCGCCACAGGAUGGGUGAUAUUUCACUGGUCUACUUUUCUUGAGAUUAAGGAAAAUAGUAUAAAAGAAUAGUGAGAUUCUUCCAUUCCAUGCAUGGCUAUCAGAAGGAAAGGAAAACUAAACAUAAAUGCAUUAAUAGAUUUUUACUAGGCUUUUGUGGCUUGUAAAUAAUGUUGUUUUAUUGUACUGUAAGGUUUAUGUGAAAACAGUUAAGUUUCUUUACAAUUAUGCUUAUUGUCCCAUAGUUGUAUUUAUCAUAUUGAAUAAAGAAUUUGAAAACUUAAACCUUACCUAAAUGUGUCAUUAAUGUAAAUGGAGUCAUUACAAUAGUCGGAUUAUUUGGAAUGGGUUCUAGAAUCUUACAUGUGACUCCUUUUGUCAUCUAAAAUGAUGGUUGAGACUUUGUUUUUUAUGAUCUUAUCAACUGUUUUGUUGUUAGUUAAAGUAGGGAUUGAGUACCUGCAACUCUGAGUAGUUUUGUAGCUUUCUGCCUGCAUCUCUGAGACAUCACAAAACUGCCUAGGAUUAACUUUGAGAGCCAACCUAGUAAAUGCUUAAAUACUUUUUCUUCUUCUUAAAAUGAAAGCCAGACCCUCCGUUUGUCUGUCCGCACAAUGCGAGCCUCAGAGCUUUUAGUUAUAUGAGAAGAGGUAGAUAAAUGGAGUGUUCAUGCUGUACAGGUUUUUGGUUUCUAACUUUGUCUUAUACUGUAUAGGUUUCGAUGGCAUUGAGCUCCACGGUGCACAUGGCUACCUAAUUGACCAAUUUAUGAAGGAUCAAGUGAAUGAUCGAACAGACCAGUAUGGAGGAUCCUUAGAGAAUCGUUGCCGUUUUGCUUUAGAAAUAGUUGAAGCUGUUUCCAAUGAAAUAGGGGCAGAUAGGGUUGGGAUAAGACUAUCUCCGUUUGCAAACUAUAUGGAAUCAGGAGACUCUAACCCAGAAGCUUUAGGUCUUUACAUGGCAGAAUCCUUGAACAAAUAUGGUAUCCUCUAUUGUCACAUGGUUGAGCCAAGGAUGAAAACAGUUGGAGAAAAAUCUGAAUGUCCUCACAGUUUGCUGCCCAUGAGAAAGGCUUUCAAGGGUACUUUUCUUGUCGCUGGGGGUUAUGACAGGGAAGAUGGAAACAAAGCUAUUGCUGAAGGCCGUGCAGAUCUUGUUGUUUAUGGUCGCUUGUUCUUGGCUAAUCCAGAUUUACCCAGGAGAUUUGAGCUCAAUGCUCCCCUCAAUAAGUACAACAGAGAAACAUUCUACACAUCCGAUCCUGUUGUUGGUUACACAGAUUAUCCAUUUCUCAACACCUCUUCUUUGGUUACCAAGAAAAAUGAUUAGACUGAUAAAGCAUUAUCUCGGAUUUAAUCCUGUUUUCUGAUUGUUUAUAGAUGUACUGUGUUUAUGUAAAAGCCAAUAUAGGUUAUCUCAAUAAAAUUGUAUUGGCGUAAGGCCAAGCUCUAUACCUAUACGUUUCACAUACACUUCCUCUCUCAUUCCAAUUGAGACUGCAAUUCUCAAAAAUCACAAGGAUAAAAGAAAGACGAAGCAUUGUGGAAUCAAACUCAAAACCAUCCUUUCGUCUCAUAAAUUGGAAAACGAAUUAACAUGGAGCAAUUCAUCACCAGCAUGUUUGAAUACAUACUUAGCUUUCCCUUCCGUUAAUUUCAAAAUACUUACACUACUCCAAAUUGACAAAACAUAAAACAGGUCUUCACACGUGUGCAUACGGGCUUGGCCCAUUUCUCAGCCAUUUGAUGAAAACUAAAUUUAUAUAUUAUUUUGGAUUAAAAUCAGUUAGUAGAAUUGAUUUGAAUUGGUCAAGGUUCGUAUCUAAAAUAAAAUAUUUAAUCUAAAACUAUAAAAGAGUAAAACUAAACCUAAUUGUAUUCGAUUAACACCACACAUGUACAGAAUAACAAUGACACAUCUCUUUCUUCUAUAGUACUUUUUGUCUAAAAAUGUACUAGAAUGAAAGGAGACUGAAGCCUAUUUUGGCUUUUUCAUUCGCUCACUAGUUGGGUGUUCUUUUACAAUUUUCCAUAGUACUUCUCGAAGGAAUUUGGGUGAUUAACUCCGUCUUUUAGCUUUUAUUUGCGGAUAAUAUAGGGUAGGUGAGCUAAGUUAUUGCUGGAUUCAUAGCUAAGUAUGGAUACAGAGGAUUUAUUGCGCAAGGGUCAGGCUGUCGUUCUAAAAGAAGAAGAAGCAGGCAUAGUAGCAUUCAUGGGGCAAAUGAGGAUUAAGGGAGAAGAAGUUGCUGCGAAUUGUCUAGUAGGGAAGGUGUUGCUUUCACGAAGCAUAAACAAGGAAGGCUUGAAAGCAGCUAUGCAAAUAGCUUGGAGAACAGUGAAGGAGGUAAAAAUUGAAAGCAUGGGGGAUAAUAUUUUUCUCUUCAAGUUUGCUUCAGAAUAAGAAAAGAAAAGAGUGCUUAUGGGAGGGCCAUGGCAUUUUGACAGAGCACUGAUAGUUUUGAUCGAACCAUCCGACAUUGGUGAUAUCAAAAAUUAAUCCUUUACGCAUACAACAUUUUGGGUACAGAUCCAUAAUAUACUCAUAAUGUGCAUGAACAAGGAGGCAAUUGAAAAACUAGGUGAAAAGAUUAGUGGGAUCAAGGAAAUAGAGACAGACGAAGCCGGGGAUUGCAUAGGACAGUUUGCUCGAGUAAGAAUCUCCCUUGACAUUACUCAGCCAUUAAAAAAGAUUGUGUUUUUACAACAAGAUGAAGGAAAAAUUCCAAUGCCAAUCCUGUAUGAAAAGCUACCGGACUUUUGCUUUUGUUGCGCGCAUGUAGGUCAUCAGUACAGAGAGCGCAUGUAGGUCAUCAGUAUAGAGAGUGCCUGAGGUAAAAAGGACAACAUCUAAUGUUGAGUGUAACAGAGCAGGAAAACCAGCAAGUGGUGCAUUAAAGCAGGGUGGUGACAUCAACAAGUUGCAGGACAGAGUGACUAGUAAUGAUAGCCAAUCUAGAUAUGAACGCAAAAAAGGCGGAAAAGAAGGAUUGGAGGGAAAAUGAAAAUCUUGUAGAAAAAGACAAUGUGGGGAACAUGGAAAAUAAAAUGGAGGAGGACACGGGGGGUGCCAGAUCAGAUGAAGAGGAUUUGGAUAAUGGGCCCAGCAAGGCCACCGUGAAAUCCAAAGGAAGAAAAUGGAAAUUGCGGGCAAGAAACACCAAAGGAGAAGGAGCAAAUAAUAUUACUUUCGUAGAAAGUAAAAGACACAACAGUGAAGGCCAUGGGCCUAGCCUAGAGAGCAAAAAGAGGGGAGUGUCCAGUCCAAAAAAGCAACCAUAGGAAGGAAAACACAUAAGCCUAGCAAAAGCAUUAGACAACUGCAACCAUUUUAGCCCCAACAAAGUAGCUCGCUAGUUGAAGCAAGCAGAAGAAGUGCUUGAUGCAGGGGAAAACUUGUAAGCAAUGGAUGAAGACCUAUCGGCGGGUGCUGAUGAUCAACCCCACCGACAACCAUAAAGAUCCUCAGCUGGAACGUUCGAGGUCUGGGGAAGCCUCAAACGCACUUAGCAAUUAGAAAAGUUCUAUACCUGCACCGGUUCUAAAUACUAUUUUGUUGUGAAACUAAGAUGAUGGCUAGGUAGGUCAAUUUAAUUUACAGAAGUUUUAAUUUUGUAAAUUGUUUUGCUGUGGACAAAAAUGGUUUGGGUGGAGGCCUAGCUAUGCUCUAGGGAGUAGACGUUAAUGUCAAUAUCACCUCAUACAGGCCCCACCAUAUAGAUGCAAUAGUGAGUAGUGAAAGUGGCUUGGUUUGGAGAUGUACGGAGAUUUAUGGCCACCUAAAGCUCAGCCAGAAGCGUAGCACAUGGACCAUUCUAAAAAGGUUAGCUAAUCUUUCUUCCCACCCUUGGUGUUGCUUUGGGGAUUUCAAUGAAGUGAUGCAUAUGUUUGAGAAAAAUGGGAGCAGAAUGUAAAUGUGGUUGUCGAGUUUAGAGAGGUUGUGGGCUGCAAGGGGUACCCGUAUACAUGGUCUAAUAAGAGAUUUGAUGCUAAUUACAUAGAAAAAUGGCUGGACAGAUUCUUGUGUAGUAAGGAUUGGGGCAAAAAAUUUUAAGACUCUACAGCCACAAACCUUGUUAAUUGGGUCUCGAAUCACUGUCCAAUAUUCUUAGAAUUCAAAUAGAGAUGCAAGAAGUCGAGGACUGUGAGCAUAUCGUUUCCUGUGAUCACUAUGAGGAUAUGUAGAGUUCUUACGAAGACUGUAAGAGCAUAGUAAAAGAUGAGUGGGGAAACUAUGGGGCUAGAGCUUGGGAGGAUCCUGCUCACCAAUUUCAGCGGAUAGCAAAAAAGUCUUUAGCUCAGCUUAAGCUUUGGAGUAAAAAUGAAUUUGAAGGAAGACAAAGAAAAUAAGAAAAGCUGUUUCAGAGCCUUCAGAAUGCUAUGCAAAGAAGCUCUAAGCUGACUGAUGGAGAGGAGAUUAGGAAGAUUGAAAGCCAGAUCAAUUCCACGCUUAUUGACGAGGACAUCUAUUGGAAGCAACGAUCGGGGGCUGACUGGCUAAGAAAAGGAGACAAAAACACUAAGUUUUUCCACGCCAAAGUUUCUGCCCGUAAAAGAAAGAAUAAGGUGUGGGGGGUAGAAAACUCUCAAGGCGUCUGGCUAAGGGAGAGAGAUGAUAUAGAAAAGGAAUUCUGCGGUUACUUCCAAGAACUCUUCACUACAUCCAGCCCAACUCCAAGCCAAAUUCAAGCUGCUCUUUAAGGAAUGCCGGUAAAAGUAACAUAAAAAAUGAAUGCCCAGCUGGAGAAGCCCUUCACUCCAGAGGAUAUAGAGGAGGCUCUAGGACAGACGUGCCCCAGAAAAGCCCCAGGUCCAGAUGGCUUAACUGCUGUAUUUUUUCAGAAGCAUUGGAAAUUAAUUCGCAAUGGAGUUGUUACAACAUGUCUUCAUAUCCUUAAUGAGCAAGGUAACCCGUCUCCUCUUAACCAUACUUUUAUCACCUUGAUCCCUAAAAUUGCUAAGCCUAAGAGAGUCUCUGAUUACAGGCCUAUAAGCCUGUGUAAUGUAAUUUAUAGAGUCGUAGCUAAGGCUAUUGCAAAUAGAAUGAAACCGAUCCUCUCCCAAAUCAUUUCUCCAAUGAAGAGUGCAUUCAUACCCAAUAGGACUCAUUACAGACAAUGUUAUUAUUGGUUAUGAAUGCCUCUAUAAGAUAAGACACUGUAAAGGGAAGAUGAAUGAUCUUGUGGCUCUUAAGCUAGAUAUUAGUAAGGCGUAUGAUAGAGUUGAAUGGUCUUUUUUGAAUCAAACAUUGUUAAGGCUGGGUUUCUCACCUAAUUGGGUGGAUUUGAUUAUGAGGUGUGUCUCUACUACCUCACUCUCGGUGAUUAUUAAUGGUGUGCCAAAGGGAAUAAUUCAGCUGGAAAGAGGUCUGAGGCAGGGCUGUCCGCUAUCUCCAUAUCUCUUUAUCAUCUGUGCUGAGGCGUUCUCCAAUAUGCUUGUGAAGGCGGAAAAGAUUCAGCUAAUCCGAGGUCUGAAAUUUACAAAAAAAAGUCUCAAUUACCCACUUGCUGUUUGCGGAUGAUAGCCUGGUUUUUUAUCGUGCUUCAGUGGCUAAUUGUAAGCAUCUGAAGGAGAUUUUCGACAACAAUGCAGCAGCUUCUGGGCAGAUUUUUAAUUUUCAGAAAUCCUCCUUGUUCAUUAAUGGUUGAAUCCCUGCAAGUCAAACAGCUGCUAUUAAGGACAUUUUCAAGUUAAAUAUGGUCUCCAAGUAUGAAAAAUACUUAGGCCUCCCCUCAAUGAUAGGAAGAGAGAAGCUGAGCUUUUUCGAUGAAGUAAAACUAAAAGUUUUAAACAAGAUCAUAGGGUGGCAGCAUAAAAGGUUUUCGAGUGGGGGUAAGGAAAUCUUUAUUAAAGCGGCAGCCCAAGCUAUCCCAGCUUACGCAAUGAGUGUGUUCAAGCUUCCGAGAGGUCUUUGAGAUGACAUUCAACGGGCUAUAGUGAAGUUUUGGUGGGGAACGAAGGAAGAUAAGCAAGGUAUCCAUUGGUUAAAAUGGGAGAAGCUCAGCCAUGCAAAAAACAGAGGUGGGAUGGGAUUUCGGGAUUUUACUAGCUUUAACCAAGCCUUGGUGGCAAAGCAAGCUUGGAGGUUUCUGCAGUACCCAAAUUCUCUGGUCUCAAGAGUCCUUCAAGCAAGAUAUUACAAGAACUCCAGCUUUCUAGGUGCAUCGGUAGGGUCCAAUGCUUCAUUCAUCUGGAAAAGCAUUCUUUGUGGCAGAGAAGUAAUCAAGAAAGGUUUUAGAUGGCGGGUGGGCAAUGGCAAGAACAUAUCUGUUUACAAGGAUAAUUGGAUGCCAAGGCCGAAUACGUUCAAGCCAAUCUCCCCCCUACUUUGCCAGCAGACAUAGUGGUGACAGACCUAAAUAAGGAAGAUAACCAUUAGGAUGAAGACAAUCUGAACCAACACUUUAUGGAAGUAGAUGCAGCAAUGAUUCUUAAGAUUCCUCUCCCAAAAGAACAUUUGGAUGAUGAUGUUUUAUGGCAUUAUGAUAAAAGGGGAGAAUACUCGAUCAAAAGUGGGUACUAGCUAGCCUUAAGAAUGAAAUUUUCAGUUGCUCCUAGUAGCUCAGAGAGCAUGUCUCAGUAUUGGAGUGCCCUUUGGUCCCUGGAGCUACCUGAAAAAAUAAAAAUAUUCAUGUGGAGGGCAUCAAACAAUCUGCUCCCAUCAACAGAAAAUAUGUGGAAAAGAAAAGUCAUUCAAGAGCCAACUUGUCAAAUAUGUAGAAAGAGCAUAGAAUCUAUAAGCCACGCCUUAUUGGAGUACAAGGCAGCAAAAUCGAUCUGGCUACAAUCUCCCUUUACAGUUCCAAGCUUUAAAGACCAUUCUCAGGAAAUUUUUAGCAUUUUGCAAGGAAUGGCCAAUGAGUUAAGGAAAGCUGAUUUGGAAUUAAUGGUGUGCUGGGCUGUAUGGUUUUCUAGAAACAAAUUUAUUUUCGAAGGCAAGAAGAUAGCCCCCAAUAUCUCAACUGCAAAGGCAAAGUCUGUUUUGGAUGCAUUUCAAAGAGUAAGGAAGACAUACCCCUCUCAUAUUGCCUACUCCAGUGGAGAGAAGCUGCAGAAGUCGAUUCCCCCCCUCCCCGAAAAUGUCUUCAAAGUUAAUGUCGACGCUGCCAUUAAUGCCAAGGAUCAGACUACAGGAGUGGGAGUAGUCAUCAGAGGAAUAAACGGCAAGGUAAUUGCAGCCGGCAUCAAUCAAUCUUCUCUAAAGGGAACGGUAAGUAAUGCAGAGGUCGAGGCUAUGUUAUGGGGAAUUCAAGUGGCGAGAGAAGCAAAUUUAGCCUCCUUGAUCAUUGAGUCAGAUUGCUUAGAGGUGGUCCAGUUAGUAAACAACACUAAGGGUAGCAAAACAAAAAAUUUUUGGACAAUUCUAGAGAUCCAAAAUUAGUUGAAGGAUUUUCACAAAGUAGCAGUCCAUCAUACUCCAAGAUAAUGUAAUGCUUAUGCUCAUUCCUUAGUUAAGUUAGCUUUGGGGAGAAACUCUUCUUCUAUCUGGUUAGGAACUAUCCCAACUAAGAUUCAAGUUGUAUUUAAUGUAUUGUGAUUUAUGAAAGGUUUACUUUCUUUUUUUUAAAAAAAAGCACCACACAUGUACUGAGCAUUCACGCAUACCUACAAAUCAGUGGCAGCAUAGUAAUUGGCAUGGCAGUUUGCAUGACAAGAUACACAACACAGUAGACUCACCAGACAGCACACACACAACAGUAGUCACUGACUCACCAACGCAACCGCGUGAAGCCAGGCCAUCGUGAGUCUGCGACAUGCUGACACAAUACACCUUGACCACUGCUGCAACUUGCUCCACCUUGAUCGAUAGCCAUUAAGUUCCUCCAACUUACUUUUUUCAAUAAACAUUACUAUACUAUAUAUAUUAUAUUAAAUAAUUAAUUUCCAAAUUUCUAUUACGUUUAUAACUUUUCAAGUUCAAUGAUUUUUGUAUGCUUAAUAAGACUACUCAGCAAGAAAAAGUCACAAUUUAUCCAUGAUUUUAGUUAGAAUUAGUAAUAUAGUGAAUAGGAGUAUAGAGAUCAUUUUUUUUAAUUUUAAUUUGAAUACAAAUCAAACCCUAUAAAUUUAUAUAAGAAAAUGUAUGUUAAAAUUUUAUUCCUAAAUAAUCAUCAUGUAAAAUUCUGUUUCAUUGUUUUUUGCUUAGAUUGAGACUAAUUAAUUUAUUAAUUGAAAUUGUAUUGUUAAUUGUUUUUAGCACAAUUAUCCUAGUCUUAUUAUUAAUUGUUAUUUUUAAAUGUACUGGGGAUGUUUGAGAUUGUGAGUGUUGUGGUGAUAUUUUAAUAGUUUUAUGUUUUGAAUUAAUGAUGACUAUUCAUUUUUUUGUAUGUUCAAGUGACUAGACACUCAAGAUCAAAUUUCACAAUUGAUGAUGAGGCACAAAGUGAACAACUAAAAGGAAAUCAAAAAGGGAGGGAAAAGACGAAGCAAGCGAAAAAUACAGCAAAUGAAAAAAAAGAUUUCUAAUGUGGAAUCAUCUCACUUUAUGUAAGGACAAUUUAAACAAAUGCUAGUGCAACUAUUGUGGUAAACAAUAUCAAUGCCAUUCAAGGCAUGAGGAGAUUAUCAAUAUGAGAAAUAAUAUAAAAAAUUAUAACAUAUACAAGACAUUCCAACAACAACAAGAAGAAAAUCGGCAGAAGUUGAUAGUUGAGGAUGGUGAAGGAAUUGCAAGUAACAUGGUUUUGGCUAAACGAUAGGAUGAGUGGAUGACAAGUGGCUCAAUUAUUUGUUUGAUACAUACAUGAAUAAUCUAUAUUCCAAGUUCCAACGGUUGCAUUUAAAUUCGCCAAUAGCAGAAAAGAAAAGAAAAGUAAAUCAAUAUCUUUGCAUAAAUUUGUAAUUUUUUAAUUUACUUUUUCUCUUCAAUUCUUCUCUAGGGGAUCCGUCCUCCAACUUCGAAUACAAGAAGUUGAAGUUAGAACUUGUCCAAAUAUUUACGUGAAGGAAGGUUAUUUAAUAUUUAUGUUUAAAUUUUGUUGUUUUAGAAAUAGUUUAUUUUUAGACUUUGUAUUGGAAACUAUUUAAUUAUAUUUAAACUUUGUGAUCUUUGUGUUUUGAAGGCUAUUUAUAUUUGAAUAUCGUGCUUUGGGUGGAGGCUAUUAAAUUUAGAAUUUGUGUUUAUUUUAAUUUGUAUACAUUUGAUUUUAAUGGUAGUAGACUAGUAGUUUUCAUUUUUUUUUAGAAUUGGUAAAAACAAACUAAAAUGAGAUAAUUAUAAGAAAAUAAUUUUCUAGUAACUACAUAAUUUGUAAAGAAAACUCAAAAUAUACAAAAUAAAAGCUCAAAAUUGCCCAUGACUCGAAUCGACCCAAAUCCAAUUUUAAACCGAACUCAAUUCGAUCCAUCUAUAAUCCUAGCUCAGUCAACUUGAACUAAACCCGAACGUUUGAUCUAAUCCGAAUACAUACGGAUUAGAUUAGAUCAUAUUACAGUUCGGAUUGAGUUUGAAUAACUUUUUUCUCAAUCCAACUAACUCGAAAUCCGAUUGGAUUGAUUCAAACCCAUUUUUGCCCACCCCUAUUCAAUAUUGAUGCAAUUGCAUUGUUUUGAUUCUUACGCAACACUUGUCGAACUACAUCAUUAUAUACAAUGUUAUGAACUACUUGGGUUAUAUUGGAAGAAAUAUGAACACGUGGAAAAAUCAGCAACCGCUGUCAUAAGUAUCCUAUUUUGGUAACCAGUACAUUAGAAUCACUUUCAAUCCAUUCUGCAGUUUCCCCAUUUUGGCAUAAAUUUCCCUACCAACAGUCAGGGAUGUCCACACAAGCUUGCUCGUUAUGUGCCGGGAUCCUUUGCAAAGUAAGAAACAUGUAGCUCCUUUUGAAGAAGUGAAAAAAAAAAAUCAUAUCUAAGAAAUAUCUGGGCUGAUGGAAAUAUAUAAUGAAGUAUCCGGGUUUCUAAGGGAAAUAUGAGUCAGAGAAUUAGGACUCAUUAUUUAUCUCGUUGGACAGCUUGAAUUUAAUUCUGUUUCACUUUCAUUUUUGUUUCUUGUAAAUAUUUAUCUUGAUUUAUAGAUAUGGCCUUUGCAUAUACAAAUGAAUUAAAUACCUGAUAAAAAAGGAUACAUCAUUAAUCAUCCACAUAAAUUUUAAGAAAACUUGAUUUUUCGAUGAUUAUGUACCUGUGUUUCUAAGGGCACUAUCACAUAUUGUUGUCAAAGAAAUACCAAUAAGCAAACAUACCUAACACCUAGUGUUAUAUACAAAUGAAGACCCUUCAAUAUAUAAUUACUGGAAUAUGGCAAAAUUUUAUAAAAUAAAAUUUAUAUAUAUGAUUAUUUCCGAAGAUAGCCAGCUCACCAUUACUUGUUUCGUCCAUGCUUUCAUUCGAAUGCAAAUCCUUAAAAAAAAUGAUGUGAAUUAGAGUAACUUGAUUUCUUAAAAAAAUUAUGAAUAUCCUUUAGCAUAAUACACUCUUUUGUAAUUUUAACUUACAUUAUUUGCAGCAAGUUAGAGCAACCUUUAUUUGCGUGCACAUUACUGAAAUGUUAAAUUGAACUUGUGUACAAGCACAGUAGGCUGCAUACAUUUGUGAAGUACUUUCCAAUUAUGGUCUAGUUUGGGGUUUGAGGUUGAGCAACUGUAACUUAAAAACUAGUAAGCACUAGCUGUUGUAACUUAGAAACUAAGUUAAUUUGAUUUUAUAUUUGUAUGAUAAAAAAAUUAUUAUAUAUAUUUACUAAUUUUGUUAAAAAAAAUUUUACUACAUAUUACUAAGACCAUUCAUACAACAACUAUAAUUUAAAAGUUAGAACACAUUAAUAUCAAACAAGACCUAUAUGAGUUUCUAAUUCGAUUAAGACCAUUUUUGCAUGAAGUGAAAUCCAAAGCAAGCUACCUAUAGCAUCUUUCAUGGCAACACUUAUACCUCCAAAACAAGUUAUGAUAAUACUCAAAUGCUUGAUUACAAGUGGGAAAGGUUGGAUUUGCCAUGACUACUUCUGGAACACUCAAAUUCUUCACAAAAGUAAAACUAAUAAAAUGAAAAUUUGUUGAUGUUGAGAGGGCAAAGAAUGGCAAGGAGAGACAUAUUUCCAUUGAAACUUUGCAAAUUCAAUGUCUUUUAGAUUGAGUGUCUUUUAUUUAAAAUUAUCAUGGAAGUUAAAAAUCGAGGGAGUUCAUUUAAGAGAGUGGGUGAGAGUGAGUAAAACUCCGAGAUUCAAACACAGGGUAGUCAGUAGGUAAAGAGCAAACUUGUUGUUCGUCAUCUAUGGACACAGUGGAGUUAAUAUGUAAAUGCAAAGCUAUUUCUAUAUGAGAUGGCAGUGAACGAAAGCUAUCAAUUAGAAGCGGAAUGCAAGGAAAAAGAGGGCGUAUAAUGGAAAAUUCUCUAGUUGGGAAAAUUCUAUUUGUUGAGUACAUAAAGGCACCAGGUCGGCCAUGCUACUGGUUCCGCCCCGGCACAGAUCGUUUCAGCUAUAUGGUACGAGCAGAACACGGGGUUAAACAGGAGCCGACCCGAGAUGAGUGCGACCAUGAAAACAUACUGACCAGAAGUAUACGCCGAGCCGAUACUCAUCCCCAGGAAAGCGGGAACACGAUCUCACAAAAUCGCGGUAGUUGCGCUUCUCCCAGAACGGUUGAAGGACACGCGAGAUCCACGUUUGCCCACAAUCUAACAGUUAGAGUCCCAUGAGGGGUUACCACCACCCGAAAAAGGAGGGAUAAGGGGCAAACGAAAAACGUGGGACAAAGGGCGGCUAUAAAAGAGAAAGACAUCGAAGAAGACAGGACAGAAAAAAUUGAGAGAGGGGAAACGCUGCCAAAUUCCAACCAGGCCAUUUCCUUACAAAUUUCUUAAAUCCAUAUUACACUGUUUUCCCGUAAACACCUUGUGCUAACUUAGGCAUCGGAGGGUUUACGCCGGCAAAACCACCGGCGUCUCUGAUCCGUGUUUGCUGAACGCAGGUCUAGUGAGAGAGGGAAGGGCGAUUCCAACCCCAGUGGUUCGAGUGACAGUUGAUAACACAAACGUUGGUGACAGAAUCUGGUCGGUCCAAGGGCGAGCAGAUUUCAGCAUCAACAUUUUGGCGCCGUCUGUGGGGAGCUGAAUAAAAAGUUACCACCAAGUUAGUAAUUACCUGAGAAGUAGCGAACGAUUGGAUAUGGAUGCGUCAAGAAAGGAUACUUUAAGGGAGGAUAAUGAAACGGUGGAGACAAUCACUCUACGGGGGAUUGCAAAUGAAGCCCGAGAGAGGAUGAUGCAAGAUAGACUGGAGCGGAUGGAGAAACAAAUGGAGACUCUCGCGGCCGUAUUGUUUGAGCUGAGGGACGAGCGGAGAAGGGAUUAUGAAACCCCCGUGGGAAGAGAUGGAGUUGGAGCAGAACCUAGUCUCCGGGGGCGUAGGGUCGGGGAGAUCCCUCCACCCGCAGACCAACCUAACGGAGUGCAUCCCCACCGAAGUACUGGCCGGGUCCCAGGGGAACACGUGGAUGAAGGGAGAGACCAACCUCGCCCCGGACGGGUACUGGAAAUAAAUGGCCGAGGGGCCAGUGUUGAUGAAGGAGAGCUCAGACAGCGGUUGCAGAACGUCGAGCAGGAGCGAGACCAGAUAGCUGCACGUGAUCCUGAUCGCGCUAUAGAAUUGGAGGGGGAGGUGCGCAGAUUGGCGCAGGUGAUAGAGGAGAUGCAGGGCAAGAGAAAGCCCCCGAGCUGGAGGAUAAUGCUAGAUGAAGAAUCUCCGUUAUCAAUUGAGAUCAUGAGCACCAUAAUCCCAAGAGAUUUCCGCUUCCCUGACCUCAAAUACUCCGGGCGAAGUGACCCGUUGGUGCACAUUGAGCGUUUCAACGACAUGACGGGUGUGCAGGGGCUGACACCAGCUCAGAGAUGCAGGGUGUUCCCGUUGACACUAGAGGGACGAGCCCGAGAAUGGUACCGCAAGCUGCCCCGAGGAGGAAUAAAGGGGUAUGAGCAGAUGUGCCAGGAGUUGGCCGAGCAGUUCCGAGGGGCGGUGGCCCCAGAGGAUGACAUGAUGGAGCUGAUGGGGAUGAAGCAGGAGGAGCAUGAAUCCCUUCGCGAUUUCGUAAAACGAUAUCACCGAGCCGUGCUGGAUUUGGGAGCUUUUAAUCACCCGCAGGCGUUGUGGGGAUUAAAAGAAGGUGUAAGAAUCGGCCGAUUGUGGUAUAACUUAAGAAGCCCCCUUGUACAGAAUUACUCGUCGGGGUAUGAGCAAGCGAAACGAGAUAUAGAGAUCGAAGAGGAAAAAUCAGCAAGAAUUAAAAGUGAACAGCUGGAAGAGCUGAGGCGAAGAGAACGGAGAGCCCCGAAAGGGAGCGGGUCGGGAAAGCGAACAGGAGAAUCUUCGGGGAUGGGCGGAAUAUCAGCUCGGUCUCGCCCUUACCCCAUAGCUCAGAGAACACAACAGUUCCAACACAGCCGGGCUCAACCUCCGCGCCCCCCGAUCCCAGAACGGCAGCGAGAAUUCAGGCAGGUGACUGCCCACCCUUACCACCGCACUCCCAGAGAGGUAAACGCGACCAAUUACAGGUCUGGCCGACCAGAGCAGUUACCGGCUAUACCAGCCCGAAGUGACGUCCAUGAUAGCCGAGCAGUGCAGUUGGUUGACCAGAACGCGGCAUAUAGACGAUAUACUCCUUUAAAAGUCUCCAUGGAGGAACUAUAUGAAAGGAUCGAGGGACGAGGACUGCUGUAUACUCCGGCCCCUAUAACGAAACCCGCUCACCGGCGUGAUAAGAGCAGGUUCUGCAAAUUCCACAACAUUCACGGUCAUACUAUCAGCCAAUGCCGUGACCUAAGGAUUCAGGUGGAGGAUUUGGUGAGGAACCAAUACUUGGAUGAGUACGUAGAUGAAGUGUUCCCCGUCAGUGAGUCGCAAUAUGCACAGGAUGAAGGAGUUGAAAGGGGUUUGGAAUAAGAACAGCCGACUAUCCAAGUUAUAGCAGGAGGGCCAACAUUGGCCGGGGAUUCAAACAGGGCACGGAAGAACUAUGGGAGAUAUGCCCUGACUAGCAAAGAAAUGUUUUUCAAUUUGCCAGCAGCCAAGAGGGCAAAAGUGCGGCAAGUUCCUAUUAUGUGGACAGAGGACGACGAAGAAGGCAUUUUAUACCCUCACGAGGAUGCGCUGGUGAUUAAAGCAUUGGUGGCCAGUACAGAAUUGCGGCGAAUACUGGUAGAUACGGGCAGCUCAGUAGACAUUCUGUUUAAGUCGGCCUUAGAUGAUAUGGGGAUUUCAGAUUUAAAGCUGGAGCGAACGAAUACAUCCUUGAAGGGAUUUGGAGGGGGACGGUUAACUCCCAUGGGGGUCAUUGAACUCCCGAUUACUGUAGGGACAAAGCCACUUGAAAGAACGAUGAUGCUGGACUUUGUAGUGGUAGAGGAAAGAAGUCCUUACCAGAUGAUAUUGGGGAGACCGUUCAUGAGGAUAAGCCAAUGUGUAAUGUCAACGCAUUAUCUGGCGCUGAAGUACAGAAUAAAUGGAGUUGUGGGUGUAGUAAAGGGCGACCAGAGAAUGGCCAGGAGCUGCUAUGCUACAGCGGCCAAGGAAACGCUGCAAGUUACCUCUCUAGAUAACCGAGGGGAUUCAAAAAAUGGUCGUCAGGAACCGGUUGAGAAGCUGGAGGAAGUUGUUGUAAGAAGGAGUGACCCUAGCAGAGUUGUUAAGGUCGGAUCAGAAUUGGGUAGAGAAAUAAAGACAGAGCUGGUGAAGUGUCUACAGUCCCAUGCAGACGUAUUUGCUUGGUCUCAUGAGGAUAUGCCAGGUAUUGAUCGCGGGAUAGCUUGUCACAAGUUGGCGGUCAAGAGAGGGGCAAAGCCGGUGAGACAGAAAAGGAGGUGCUUCAACCACGAAAGGUACGAAGCCAUAAAUGCCGAGGUGGAAAAGCUGCUGAAAGCAGGAUUUAUAAGGGAAGCUAAGUACCCGGAGUGGAUUUCCAAUGUGGUAUUGGUAAAGAAGGCCAAUGGGAAGUGGAGAAUGUGUGUAGACUUCACGGACCUCAAUAAGGCAUGCCCGAAGGACAGCUUUCCCCUGCCAAAAAUAGAUCAGCUGGUGGACUCAACCGCGGGUCAUAGUCUGCUUAGUUUCAUAGAUGCCUUCUCCGGAUACAACCAGAUACCCAUGAACGAGCAGGAUGAGGAAAGCACCACAUUUAUAACUAACAUGGGUUUGUUUUGUUACAGGGUGAUGCCCUUUGGCCUGAAAAAUGCAGGAGCUACCUAUCAAAGGUUAGUGAACAAGGUCUUCAAACCAUUGAUCGGUCGCACUAUGGAAGUAUAUGUGGACGAUAUGAUCACCAAGUCAAGAGAACCGAAAGACCAUGUGAAGCACUUGGAAGAGACUUUCGAAUUGCUGAGGAGGUACAAAAUGAAGCUGAACCCGGAGAAAUGUGCAUUUGGGGUCAGCUCGGGCAAAUUUUUAGGAUACCUGGUGAGCCAUCGAGGUAUUGAAGCCAACCCAGAAAAGAUACGGGCAGUGAUAGAAAUGAGGUCCCCACGAACAGUUAAGGAGGUGCAGAGCCUUACGGGGAAGUUGGCAGCAUUGAACCGAUUCAUUUCGCGAGCCACUGAUAAAUGUCACCCUUUCUUCCAAGUCAUAAAGAAAGGGAAGAAGAUGGAAUGGACACCGGAAUGCGAGGGGGCAUUUGGACAGCUGAAGGAAUAUCUAGCCCACGCCCCGUUACUAUCAACUCCGAGAGAGGGUGACCAGCUGCUCUUAUACUUGGCAAUCUCUAAGCAGGCUACCAGCUCGGUCUUAGUCAGGGAAGUAGAAGGGAAGCAACACCCGGUAUACUACACAAGCAAGGCCCUGGUGGACGCAGAAACCAGAUAUCCACUAAUGGAGAAGUGGGCGCUGGCUUUGAUAACGGCAGCACGCAAACUCCGACCAUACUUCCAAGCCCACCAGAUCGUUGUGAUGACUGACCAGCCACUUCGGCAAGUACUUCAAAAACCAGAUGCGUCUGGUCGGUUAGUAAAAUGGUCCGUGGAGCUGAGCGAAUUUGACCUGUCCUACAGGCCCCGAGGAGCAAUCAAGGCCCAAGCCCUGGUAGAUUUUAUGGUGGAUCGUGUUGAACCGGGGGAAGAGGUCCAAGAGGAACAAUCGGUAGAGCACGAGGAUUCAAAGGAGAUAUGGCUGGUAAUGGUUGACGGAUCAUGUAGUGAGCAAGGAUCCGGAGCAGGAGUUGUAAUACGGAGCCCAGAGGGAACCGAGGUAACAUACGCGGUGAAGUUCGAAUUUCAGCUCACAAACAACCAAGCUGAGUAUGAAGCCUUUAUCACCGGGCUCGGACUUGCACACGCUCUCAGAGCAGAGAGAGUAGAAAUUCGAGCAGAUUCCCAAUUGGUGUGUAAUCAGCUCAAUGAUCAGUUUCAAGCGAGGGGAGAGAAGAUGAGUCUUUAUUUGAAGAAGGCGAAGCAGAUGGUUGGGCUUUUCCAAGCAGUGGAGGUAAAGCAGAUAUCCCGGAAUGAGAAUUUCCGAGCCGAUAUGCUGGCUAGGAUGGCAGCCAUCGCAGAUCCAAAAUUACCGAAGUCAGUUCCACUAGAGGUAAGGACCUCACCAAGUAUUGAGGAAGAAGCAGAGGUGAUGAGUGUAAAUAUUGGAGAAUCCUGGAUGGACCCGAUUCGCGCAUAUGUCCGCGAUGGAGUUUUACCGAAAGACAAAAGGCAAGCAAGAAAGUUAAAAUGCCGAGCAGCGAGGUACACGCUACUAGAUGGAGUGCUAUACCGCCGAGGGUUCACCUUACCCCUUUUGAGAUGUUUGGAUGAUGAGGAGGCGGAUUAUGUGCUGAGAGAGAUUCAUGAGGGAAUAUGCGGCAAUCACUCGGGAGCAAGAACUUUAGCCUUCAAGGCACUCCGGCAAGGAUACUUUUGGCCAACCAUGCACCAGGAUGCCAAAAGGAUGGCCAAGAAUUGUAAAACAUGCCAAAGCUUCUCCGAGGUUCCUGCACAACCACCGGAGAAACUGACGGCUAUGACAUCCCCAUGGCCUUUCGCUCAAUGGGGAAUCGACUUGAUUGGUCCAUUACCAAAGGGACGAGGAGCGGCGACACAUGCAAUCGUGGCAAUAGACUACUUCACCAAGUGGGUGGAAGUAGAAGUCCUCAGCCAGAUCACAGAGAGGAAGACAACAUAUUUUAUUUGGAAAAACAUCAUCUGCAGAUAUGGGAUCCCCUACGCCAUCAUCACAGACAAUGGGAGGCAAUUUGACAACGGCAACUUCAGGGAAUUUUGCCGAAACCUGGGGGUGGACCUGAAGUUCUGCACCCCCACACACCCCCAGGCAAACGGGCAAGUGGAAGCAGCCAACAAGGUGAUAAAGAAGCUCCUAAAGACUAGAUUGGGGGAGAAGAAGGGAGCUUGGGUUGACGAGCUACCAGGGGUACUGUGGGCCUACAGGACAACUCACAAAACCGCCACAGGAGAAACACCGUUCGCUUUAGCUUUUGGUCAUGAGGCGGUAAUCCCAGCAGAGAUUGGAGUGGGGACACAUAGAACGGAACAUUUCGUUGAGGAGCAAAAUGACGAGCAGAUCUGCUUAAGCCUAGACCUGCUGGAGGAGAAAAGGGAAGGGGCCUCGCAGAAAGUGGCCCAAUGUCAGCAAAGGGUCAUGCGUUAUUACAACAAGAAUGUAUGCGUGAGGCAGUUCCGAGCAGGAGAUUGGGUACUUAGGAAGGUGAACCAGAACACCAGGAAUCCUAACCAUGGCGCUCUUGGCCCAAAGUGGGAAGGCCCAUACCGAGUGAUACGACCCACUGGACCAGGAGCAUAUAAAUUAGCGUGCCAAGACGGACGAGACGUGAAGAGAUCAUGGAACGCCGAACACCUGAAGAAGUACUUCCAGUAAGCAAAAUGCUCUAUUAAAUCCUCACUCUGGCAAGUUAUUUCUGUUACAAUGCCUGAUGGCCUGUCGCACAUGCAUAUAUUCUAUGUUUUUGUAAUACAUUCAAAUUUCAAUAAAGAUGAAUUCAGCAUGAAAUCCCCCUGCUAGCAAGAUCAAUAAAAAUUUCACUAAGACAAGUGCUACUUCUGCUCGGUCAACGAAGACCAGCAGCUAAAGCUUCAAAAUUUAUACUAAGGCAUCAAAGUGCCUGUUUCUGCUCGGUCAACGAAUGACCAGCAGCUAAAGCUACGAACACUCUCCUAGGGCAAGUGCCUACUUCUGCUCGGUCAACGAAGACCAGCAGCUAAAUCCUCGAAAGUUCACUAAGGCAAGUGUCUACUUCUGCUCGGUCAACGAAGACCAGCAGCUAAAGCUUCAAAAUAUCUACUAAGGCAACAAAGUGCCUGUUUCUGCUCGGUCAACGAAUGACCAGCAGCUAAAGCUACGAACACUCUCCUAGGGCAAGUGCCUACUUCUGCUCGGUCAACGACAGACCAGCAGCUAAAGCUACGAAAACUCUACUAAGGCAAGUGCCUACUUCUGCUCGGUCAACGAAUGACCAGCAGCUAAAGUUACGAAGAUUCUACCAAGGCAAGUAAGUGCCUACUUCUGCUCGGUCAACGCAAGACCAGCAGCUAACUCUACAAGAAAUCUACUAAAGCAAAUGCCUACUUCGGCUCGGUCAACGAAGGACCAGCAGUUAAUCCUACUAAAAUUUUACUAAGAUACAAUCUAUGAGCAAAAACCGGACAAGAAAGCAAAUAAAGAGCAUUUAAAAAUCUUUUUAUAAAUGUUCAAUUGUUUACAAAACAAAUGCAAAUCUAGAGUCUAUACAAAAAUAGGCUCAAAGAUUAGAAGGGUCAACGGCUUCAGCAGGUGAAGGAUCAGUUGUCCCAGGAGGUGGAGGAUCAGCAAUACUGGGAGGAGGCGGCAUGGAUCCUUGUCCCAUUUCAAAAGCACGUUCCCCAGCUCCCCCCUCCUGCACCUCAUAUAAAGGAGCCUCCACCUGAUUCUGCUCACCUUGCUCCUUAUCUCCCUGGCCGACCCCAGCCAUGUACCUCUCCACUCCAGCCUCCAGCUUGCUCAUAUCCAGCUCGGGAUAUUCUUCCUUAAGCACAGACAUGAUGCACUUAUAGGAGAAGGCAACCCCAGAGUCAUACUCGGCAUCCAGCCGAUCGUCCACAUCAGCAGAUUUGCCUUUCUCCUCAGCCAGCUGCUCACCCAAGGAUUUGAUUUCCCCCUCAAGGGCAGCCCUCAGAGUAUCCCUUUCAAUUUGAGUAGCCUGAAGAUCAGAUCUCAGGUCACCCAACUCGCCCUCAAGCUUGGAGGAAGUGGACUCAGCAACAGCAACUUUCUCCUCAAGCUCCGUAAGCUGUUUGUUCAGCUCGGCCAGUUUCUCCUUGGAGCGGUCAGCAGAUUCAACUUUCUUUUUCAACUCUUGGUUAUCAGCCUGGAGCUUCUUCUCAUGACGCGCGGACCCGAUCUUGUAGCACGAGACCAUUGUGGCCAGCCUGAAGGAGACUCUCUGAACAGAAGCAGCCAAAUCGGAGAGGCUCAUGCUCUCGAUGUCCUUCACCAUCUUAGGCCCAACCGAUUUUUUAUAAUCCUUCUGAUAUGGACUCAGGUAAUCACCUUGAUCCCGAGAUGGGAGAGGAGAAGAUCGGUCCUCAGAUUGCAAGCUGACCUCAGGACUCUUGUCAGAGGUUUUCUCCCCACCACUCUUACGAGGUGGAGGAGGAGGCAGAGCAGGAACAGGCGCCUUGGAAGGACCGACGGUAGGUUUCUUCGGAGGAGGAGGCGGGUUGCUGGAGCUGCUCGGGGCCCGACCACGCUUCCUGCUCAUCGCGCUGAGGAUCUUGUUAUCCAUUCCAGCGGCUAUAUCCACUAGGCCCGAACCGACCAAGUUUGUGGGAGACAGGAGGUCUUGGCAAGUAGAAGCGUUCACCAGAGCAGUUUCCACCUGAAGCAAGGGUCGAUCUUCAAGCCCCCCGAUCAAAUCCCAUGACUCUGAAAUAACAAACAAGGUUAAAGAACCCAAUAAGUGGCAGUUCGAAAAAGAAUACAGGCAAAAAAUGAACGACCUGGGGUGACAAACUGCGUUGGUAGGUAAAGAUCACCACCCAACGAACGAAAUGCUGAACACCAUUUUCCCCCAGCAAAGAAGAAUUUGUUCUUCCAAUUCUUACACGAGGAGGGGAAACCGGUGAUUGGCUUUCUCUUUGCAGAACUGGACAUGAAGUAGUACCAGCCCGCCUCCCUUGGGCUGCUCCGCAGCUGAUACAAAUGCUUCACUUCAACAAGGGAAGGCUCCUCCAACCCGCACCUCUCCCACAACACAAACAUAGCCGAUAGAACCCUCCACUCGUUCGGGUGUAGCUGACCUGGGGCCAGGUGCAUACCUCCCAAUAUCUUGGCAAAAUAACGCUGAAGGGGCAGCCGAGCUCCAGUUUAAAACUCUCUAGGUGCAUCGUCACAUACCCCCGCGGAGGCCGACUAGGAACGUCACCCUUCCCAGGGACUACAAGAAGAACAUCGUUGGGGAUGUUGUAGAGAUUCCUAAGUUUAAAUAGAUCGGUGGGGGUGGUGGCACAAACCAUGAAGUCAAUAGGGUAGGAAUCAGCCUCCACCCUAUGGCCUAGUUUCCUUUUCUGAGCAGGUCUGCUCGGUCCGGAACUGCUCCCCUCACCAUCACUAACUCCUUCAGGGACCCCAACCCCACCAGAACUGUGAUUCUCACCAGAGCCCGACGCAGGUCCACCUCUAUUCCCUACAAGCUCUAGUUCGGGGGAAGAAGAGAUAACCAAAGGGCGUGGGUAUUCAAGGGUAUCCCUGCCAUGGGAAGGACCUACACUACUGGAGGGGUCUAAGUAAUCAGUGGGUAUUGGCACAUUGAGACCUGAGUCCCCUGACUCUUCAUCACCCUCAUCAACAAUUAACUUCCUCUUCCGAUUUGACAUACCGAAAUCCCCAAGAGAAAACAGAGAAAAUUCGAGUAUAUGGACACAAAGAAGGCAACACAGAACCCAAUCAACAACAACCAGAGGAAAGGGUUAAAGACUAUACCUGGAAUAGACUGACACUGAUAGCGCUGCCGUGACAGAGAAAACACCCGGCGAAUGGAUACUCCGGACGCUGGAAGUGUGAGCAAAGUUCAGAGAAAAUUUGGUUGACGGCGGAGAAACGAAUAGCAAGAUAAAGAUGACUCCAGUCUAGGGAUUUGAAACGAAAAGGGGGAAAUGGAAGCAUUUAAGUGAUGGGAUAUGCCAGCUCACCCCCCCAUAUAUCGAGGACGGAUAGUCCGUCGUUUCAAAUUUCAAAUACGAAGAGUCUGGAGAUGCCACGUCACCAACCGUUACAAGAGGCCAGGUUAGAAGUAAGCCCAGAUAUGCUAUGGGCAGGUUCACUUAGGCCCACGCUCAGGUCGGAGUCUCCUCAGUAGAGAAAUGGUACAUCAGGUCAGGCCCGUCUCAAUAAAAAGAGGAUCAGACGAGAAGCUCACCGGGCUGGUGAGAUUUGACCAUCAGUUUCUACUCUUAACUCAUUUCACUCGCCAGACCAGAAACUGGGGGACUGGUGUUGAGUACAUAAAGGCACCAGGUCGGCCAUGCUACUGGUUCUGCCCCGGCACGGAUCGUUUCAACUAUAUGGUACGAGCAGAACACGGGGUUAAACAGGAGCCGACCCGAGAUGAGUGCGACCAUGAAAACAUACUGACCAGAAGUAUACGCCGAGCCGAUACUCAUCCCCAGGAAAGCGGGAACACGAUCUCACAAAAUCGCGGUAGUUGCGCUUCUCCCAGAACGGUUGAAGGACACGCGAGAUCCACGUUUGCCCACAAUCUAACAGUUAGAGUCCCAUGAGGGGUUACCACCACCCGAAAAAGGAGGGAUAAGGGGCAAACGAAAAACGUGGGACAAAGGGCGGCUAUAAAAGAGAAAGACAUGGAAGAAGACAGGACAGAAAAAAUUGAGAGAGGGGAAACGCUGCCAAAUUCCAACCAGGCCAUUUCCUUACAAAUUUCUUAAAUCCAUAUUACACUGUUUUCCCGUAAACACCUUGUGCUAACUUAGGCAUCGGAGGGUUUACGCCGGUAAAACCACCGGCGUCUCUGAUCCGUGUUUGCUGAACGCAGGUCUAGUGAGAGAGGGAAGGGCGAUUCCAACCCCAGUGGUUCGAGUGACAGUUGAUAACACAAACGUUGAUGACAGAAUCUGGUCGGUCCAAGGGCGAGCAGAUUUCAGCAUCAACACUAUUGGCAAAGAGUGUCCACACGGAUGUGAUCAAAACUGCAUUAACACAAGCAUGGAAAACAACAAAAGAGGUGAAGAUUGAGAGCAUGAGAAACAAUAUUUUUCGGUUCAAAUUUGGGUUAGAAGUUGAUAAACAGAAAAUAAUGGCAGGAGAGCCAUGUCAUUUCGAUAGGGCUCUGAUUGUGUUGAAAGAACCCAAUGGAAUAGGAAACAUGAGAAAGGAAGAAUUCACGCAUACAUGUUUUUGGGUACAAACUCACAAUAUACCCAUAGUUUGCAUAGAGAGAGAGAGACAAUGUUCAAAAGCUGGGAGGACUGAUUGGAGAGGUGUUGGAAGUUGAAAUUGAUGAUGACAGGGAGUGUAUUGGUUUGUAUGCAAGAGUCAGAAUAUCCAUUGACAUCACAAAGCAAUUACAGAAAAUGGUUGGAGCUAGAAAAAGAUGAUAAGGUGGAGUUGCCAGUAUUGUAUGAACGGCUCCCAGAUUUCUACUUUUGCUGUGGUACCAUUUGGUACCAAUUUAAAGAGUGUGAAUCAUACAUAGGGCAACCAAAAAAAAAAAUUGCCCUAUGGAGUGUGCAUGAAGGCAUUGUCCAAAGUUGAAAAAACUAGGCUGAACAGGGGAAAAGAUAGAUGGAAUAGAAGGUUUGAGCAGCUCAAUAACGAACCAAAGGAAGCAGAACACCAUGGGAGAAGGCAGGCAAAACAAAUUGGUUUAGACCUGUAUAAACAUGAACUCGAGUCAAACUAAUCUAUUUCGGGGAGAUCAUGAUAGUUAAACAAGGAAAAUUGGGGAGUAAUUAAUGCAAAUGACUCUAGAACCAAGAAAUCAGAAAGACACGGUCAAAAGUAACCUAACAUGGCUGAUACCGAAAAUACAGCCGACAACUUAAACAAUCAUGGAAAAAAGAAAGAAAAAGCGGGAACAUAGAAUUGAGAGGGAAUAAAGUUAAAUUUGGUGCUAAAUUUGAAGCCAAAAUUAACUCUAAAUACAAGCCCAAAAAAAUAUUAAAGCAACUCAAGCCCAGAAGAAGUAGUAUGUGAUGGACCGAAAACAAAGAAUACUAGGCCUAAGAGAAAGAAGUGAAAGCUGCAAGCUAGUAGUGUAAGUAGCAAAGGACACACAAAAGAAGGGCUAAUUGUGGGAAAAAGACUAGGUUGUGGAGUAAUAAGGUCAAGCCUAAAUCCUAAAAAAAAAACCCAAAUCCGAAGCCCACAGAAAAACUCAAUAGCUAGAGAAAGCUCCUGCAAUACAUCUCCUCUUAGCUAUAAGCUCAACUGGGUUGUUUUAAGAAUGGAGAAAAUGAUAAAAACACAAACAAUGCAACUCAAUCGGCGGAGGCAGAACACCAACCCUGCCGACAACUAUGAGGAUUCCAAGCUGGAACGUUCGGGGGAUGGGGAAUGACCGAACGUUCAUAGCUCUCCAAAAAUUCCUCACAUUGUAUAGGCCUCAAUUAAUGUUUCUAUGUGAAACUAAAUUGACAUCUGUACACAUGGAAAAUGUUGGCAAGAAGCUGAAGUUUGAAAAUUGUUUUUGGGUUAGUAGAAGUGGUAAGAAUGGGGGUCUAGCUAUGCUUUGGAAUUCAGCAACAAGGGUAGAUAUCACCUCUUUCAGUAAACACCGCAUAGAUACUGAGGUAGAACUGAAAGUGGGAAGUAGAUGAGAUGCACUAGAAUCUACGGGCACCUAGAAACGAGUCAGAAAAAACACACCGGGACUUUAUUAAGGAGAUUAACAGGUUUAUCUUCACCCCUUUAGUUAUGCUUUGGCAAUUUCAAUGAGAUAAUGCACUUAGAUGAAAAAAAUGGAGGAAAAGACAGGGAGGUUCAUAUGAUUAAAGAGUUUCGAAAUGAUGUUCAGGAUUACAAUUUGAAAGAUUUGGGUUAUACAAGACACCAUUUUACAUGGUCGAAUAGGAGAUUUGGUAGCCACUUUGUUGAAAAACGUCUAGAUAGAUUUUUAUGUAGUAAUGAUUGGACAAAUUCUUUCUAAAACCAAGCUGCAAAAAAAUCUGAUUAUAUGGUGCUCAGACCACAAUCCGAUUUUGAUGGAAGUGAUAAGCAGAGCCAAUAGAAAGACAUAUAAUAAAAGAACCUUUUCAAGAACCCAUUAUGAAGACAUGUGGAGCAACUAUGAUGAGGGUAAGAACAUUGUAAAGGCAGAAUCGACCAAAGACUGGUCAGGGGAUAAUGCAGUGCAGUUUUUUAAACAAGCCAGCAAAUCUUAACUAACUGAAUUAGUACACUGGAGUAAGAAAACUUUUAAAGGAAGCAAGAAGAAAUUAGAGAAGCUGAGGAACAGAAUAUAAGAGCUCUAGUAGGAAAGACAGUGGGAUAAGGGUGAAGAAUUGAUAAGCAUUGAGAGGCAGAUCCAUAACCUCCUUUUAGAUGAAGAGAUCUUUUGGAAACAGAAAGAGGUUUAGGGCUGAUUGAUUGAGGGAGGGAGAUAAAAGCACCAAAUUCUUCCACUCAAAAGCUUCAUCUAGAAAGAGGAAGAACAAAAUUUGAGGAGUUGAAGAUGCAUAGGGAAAAUGGGUAGAAGAAAAUGAAGAUAUUGAGAAAGAGUUCUGCGGUUACUUUGCAGAGUUAUUUUCAACUUCCAACCCUACUCAAGAUCAAAUGGAGUGUGCUUUGAAAGAAAUGGUCUCAAAAGUUUCAGCUUAAAUGAAUGAGUAUCAGACUCAACCAUAUACAGAGGAAAAGAUAAUAGAGGCUCUAAAUCAAAUGCGUCUAACCAAGACACUAGGCCCUGAUGGGCUACCGACUGCCUUUUAUUGGAAGCACUGGCCAUUAGUUAACAUCACCACAUGUUUUCACAUCCUCAAUGAAGCAAGUAACAUUGCUCCUCUGAACCACACAUACAUUGCUUUAAUUGCCAAUAAUGCAAAGCUUAGGAAAGUGACUGAAUUUAGACCAAUAAGUCUUUGUAAUUUCAUUUAUAGGAUUUGUAAAACUAUUGCAAAUAGAUUGAAAACUAUCCUACAUGUUGUAAUUGAUUCUUCGUAGAGUGCUUCUAUCCCCAACAAAUUGAUAAUGGAUAAUAUCAUUGUUGGGUAUGAAUGCCACCAUAAGAUUAGGCAUAACAAAGGAAAAAAAAAUGGCUUGGUGGCUCUGAAGUUAGAUAUCAACAAAGUUUACGAUAAGGCAUAGUGGGAUUUUUUAAAGGAGACAAUGAUCAUAUUAGGUUUUGCUAAGAAGUUGAUAAAUUUAAUUAUGAAUUGCAUUACUACGUCAUACUUUUCUAUAAUCAUAAAUGGAAUACCAAAUGGCAAGAUUAUUCCUAAAAGGAGCUUGAGGCAGGGAUGCCCUUUAUCUCCUUAUCUGUUUAUAAUAUGUGCAAAUGCUCUUUCAAAUUUGUUGAUUCAGGCUGAGAGAAGAAAGUUAAUACAUGGGUUGAAAUUUGGAAAGCAUAUCUCUAUUUCUCACCUCUUAUUUGCAUAUGACAGCCUAAUUUUUUUUUUCCAAAGCCUCAAUUAAAGAUUUCCAGCAUCUAAAAGAUUUGUUCGAUUGUUAUGCCACUGCCUCUGGCCAAAUUUUUAAUUUUGAAAAGUCAUGCAUGUUCUUCAGCGGCAGUGUUUGUGCAAACCAAAUUUCGGCCAUUAAAAGAAUAUUUCAGCUCAAUGUGGUAACGAAGCAUGAGAAGUACUUGGGGCUGCCCUCAAUGAUAAAGAGGAAAAAGAAAAAAAUUCUUCAAUAAGAUUAAGCUAAAAGUCCAGAGCAAGAUCUCUAGUUGGCAAUAAAAACUUUUCUCGAGUUGAGGAAAAGAUGUCCUGAUAAAAGUAGUGGCACAACCAGCUUAUGCAAUGAGUGUCUUCAAGAUACCUAUUGGUGUGUGUGAUGAUAUUUAGUGAGCAAUAAAAAGAAGGAAAAAAAGGGGCAUCGUUUGGAUCAGAGGGGAGAAGAUGAGUCAAGCUAAAAUUUGAGGGGGAAUGGGCUUUAGAGACAUAUCAAGUUUUAACCAAGUCAUGGUAGCUAAGCAAGGAUAGAGAUUGAUUCAAAAUCCAGAUUCCCUUGCAGCUACUGUUUUAAAGGCUAGGUAUUUUCAAGAAGACUGAUUUUCUAAAUGCUUCAAUGGGGUCAAACCCAUCUUAUAUUUAGAGAAGCUUACUUUGGGGUCGACAAGUAAUUCUUAAUGGAUAUAGAUAGAGAAUUGGUAAUGGGUAAAACAUCUUAGCCUACAAAGGAAAUUGAAUUCCAAGACCAUCCACUUUCAAACCGUUUCCUAGUCCAAGGAUGCCUUUUGAUGCUAUUGUUUCAGAGUUGAUAGACAAUGAAAGCAGAUGGAAGACUGACUUGAUCCAAAAGAUGUUUUUAAAGGAAGAUGUAUAUGCAAUUCUCAAUAUUCCUUUGCCAAAAGGACAAAGCAAAGAACAAGCCAUCUGGCAUUAUGACAGAAAGGGGAAAUACUCGGUCAAGAGUGGAUACCAAGUGGCUAUAAAUAUGAAAAUUUUGAAUUCACCAAAUUGCUCCAACAGUAAAGGCAGAAAUUGGAAUAUCAUUUAGACCCUUACCAUCCCAAAAAAAGAUUAAGAUUUUCAUUUGGAAAGCAAUUAAAAACUUACUACCGACAGUUGAUAAUUUGUGGAAGCGUAGAAUUAUUCAGGAAGGUCACUGCAAGCAUUGUAGAAAUAGAGUGGAAAAUAUUAUGCAUGCCAUGGUCACUUGUAAAGCAGCAAGAAAGGUUUGGCAGCUUUCAUCAAUGGUGAAUGCAAGUCAACAGAUGAGAAAUGCAAACCUCUUGGGGGAUUUGAUGAUGCUUCAGAAGAAAUUAAGUAAAGCUGAACUUGAGCUUGUGGCGUCAAUUUGGUGGGUGAUUUGGCAUGCUCAGAAUAAAUUUGUAUCUGAAGGUGUAAAAUUGGAUCAAGGAUUGCAAAUGGCCAAAGCUGAAGCAGUCAAUGAAGUUUUUAAAAGAACAAAAUUUCCAGAGAUGUUGAAUCUAGGAAAAAUGCAGAAGGAAAAACCAAAAUCCUGGACCCCUCCACCCGAUGGAUGGCUAAAGAUAAAUGUUAAUGCAACUACUGACACCAAAAGACAAUGCUCGGGAUUGGGAGCAAUAAUCAUAGACUCCACUAGAAAGUGCUUAGCUGUAGCUAUAAAAACCUCAAGGUUUGGGAGAGAUGUAACAUAUGUGGAAGUAGAAGCAGCUGAGUAGGGCAUUAAAAUAGCACAGGAAGCAGGUCUACAGUCAGUUAUCCUAGAAACUGAUUCUCAUGAAGUACCAGAAUUGAUAAACAAUAGAGAAGGCAGCCUAACAGAAAUAUAUUUGGUCCUUGCGGAAAUUCAAGACUUAAAGAAGAAUUUUAAAGCCUUUAAAGCACAAUAUGUCCCUAGAUCAUUUAAUGAGUGUGCCCAAUCUUUAACUAAGAUGGCUAUUGAAAAAUUUGAAUCUAUUGUUUGGGUGGAGAAUUUUCCUCCUGAAAUUUUGUAAGUUUUCACUUCGUUGAAUUAAUAAAAGUUUUACUUUCCCAUAAAAAAAACUGGUAAAACCACGAAUGCUACUAUAUGUGAAGAUUGCCAUAUAUGAAAUUUUAUAAAAAAAAUGAAUCUUAUUUUCAAUGUGAAGAUUAUCAAAUAUAGAAUUUUUAUUAAGAAAAAAUUCUUAAUUUUUGGAUAAUUAUGAAUGGGAGUAAUAAUAUGGAGAUAUCUAAAAAUUAGACUUCCUUAUAUAUGCAACUUAAAUAACAUCUUUGAAAUGUUAGAAGAAUAAUUAUUCAUUAGUGUAUUAAUCAAAUAAAUUUCAAAUAUUGGGGUCUUCCUAAAAAUUGGAGCAUCAUUUAGUUAACCUAAUACUAAAGUCGCUCUUGAAUCUGUUAUGGAAGCCAUGCUAAAUUUCAAGGGUUUAAGAUUCUUAGAAAAGGCUAUGUUGAUCCCAAAUGGUACAAACAGGAACUUCCUAAUGUGAAUUGAAUGGAUACUCAAUCCUCUGAUGGCCAAGAGUUUAAGACCUCGUAUUAAUUGUUCCAUAUCUUGAUCUCAUUGAGUUUACUAAGACCAACUAACUCGAGACCUUUAAUCAUCUCCAAUCUCUUAGACUUAUAACCUCAAUCAUGGACACCCAACAAUUAAAUUUUUAAUAAAACUUUUAAUAACAUGAUCAUCUACUUCAACUGACAACAGAUAUAAUUGUUUCAAAGAAGCUAAUAUCACGCUUGCUGGUAACUCAAGCUUACAACCAUUUAACACUAAGGGAAUGCCUAUUUGGAAUUGAGGUGUUGUACAUUUUAAGUUACAUCUUCUGUAGAAAAAAAAAACUAUAAUUAUGAAGUAAAAGUUAAUAUUAUGUUGUAAACAUAAUUUUUUAACUAUAAUUUUAACAAAAUUAGUAAAGAUAUAAUAGAUAUUUCAUCAUACAUGUAUACUGUCAAAUUAACUUAACUUCUAAGUUACAGUAAAUUGUGUUUACCAAACAUUUUGGUGCUAUACUUUUUAAGCUCCAACUACUCAACCUCAAUCCUAAAUAAAACAGUAGUUAACGAUUUCAUACAAGAAACCAUUUAACAUUAUUCUCAAUUGCAUAGCAAAUGCGUUGGUGAUGAAUAGUGCUUUUAUUUUGUUACAGUGCACAUAAAUAUGAUGAAAAAACUUUGAAUCAAGUACCAAAAAUGGGAAUCUAAGCCAUGCUUGUUCCCACGUUUUAGAUAAAACGCUUUUUUCAACUACUUGUUUGAACGGGAGUAAUGACAAAAUAUGAUGCCUACGUGCUUUUGCAAAUUAGAUAUCCUUUUUCUUUUUCAGUUAUUCUCCCAACAUCACAGGCCUCCCUCAAUUAACCACUCUCAAGCAGAUUAAUAAAUUUAUUAAUUAUAUAGAUCAUGUUCUUACUCAUCAACAACAUAAUUAGAACUGAAUCUAAAUCGAAAUUAUUUUGAAUUAAUAUGGAUUAUGAUAUCUAGGCAUGCAUGGACAAAUUGAAAUUUAGUCUAAUUCAGUUUAAUUUAUUCUUUAAUGAGAAAAUAAAUUCGAACAAAAAUGACCCACAAAAGAUAAUUACAGAGAAACAUACAAUAUACAUUUAGAAAUUAGUUUAAGAAAUAUAAUAUCUGUCAACUAUCAACAAUCUCGCCGUCUAAAGCAGCAGCAAAAAUCAGCAAAAAUAUAAUAAUGGUUCUCAAACAUUGUUAAAUCCCUUAACACUUUAGAAUAAAUCAAUAUAGGAAAUGAUUGGUAAAUGCUUAUUUAUUCUUUAUAUUUUGAGUUACGUGCUCAUUUAAUUUUUAUAUUUAAAAAAUAUAUUAAAACAAAAAAAAGACAACAAACAAACAAAAAAAAUGAAAAAAUGAUUUCCAGAGAAAGUCUUGAAACUCUUAUGACAUAGGAUCUUGGACGAUCUUAAAAGACAUUAUAAAAUAUAAAGGGCUAAACGGUCAUGAAUAUUUACCCGGAAAUAAAAAAUUAAUUUUUUUUGUAUUUUGUCUAAGUGAACAUUCAAACAUCAUUUAUUUUUAAAUUUCAAAAUUAUUUACUUUUAUAUGAUAUAUAUCAUAAUAAUUCAAAAAAGAAAAUUGUAUUUAUUCUAUCUCUAAAAUAAAUUAAAAAAAUUACAAACUAUUAAGAUAUAAUAAAUUAUUAUUAUUAUUAUUUUACUGAUGAUGAUGACAACGACGACGGCGACCAUGAUGAUGAUAUACGAAUAAAUAUUUGCUUUAAUAUUUUUUAAAAAAAUAUUUGUUAAGUAUAAAACUCUACUCAAGUCGAAUAAAUAUAUGUUCAAUACACUUGAGGUAUGGCUAAAUGUCAAAAACAACCACAAACAUGAGAAACUGGAUGCAAUAGUCCUUUCGUUUGUAAAAUGUUCGAUAGAACCUUUCGUCUUAAUUCGAUAAAAAUAUAAAAUAAAUUAGGAUUACGAGGUGGUUAAAAGACUACGAAUACAUUAAUCUUUUAUUAAAAAUUAUAAAUACGUUAAUCUUUUAUUAAAAAAUCAUAAAGACCCACAAUAUAUAGUACUCCGAUGCUAUUAUUUUUAUAGUGAGUGGUCUAAUGGUUAUAAUUCCAACUUCUUAUGGUUAAAUUUGUAAUUUCUUGGAUAACUUUGUCAGUUCGUUUGAUGACAAAGAUGAACUUGGACAUGUUUUCGUUUCAAUUAAGAGGGAUGCAUCAUUUUCUUUAAUAGUUUAUAAUAUUAAUUAUUGACCAUUGGGUGGUUUCUUUCUUUCUUUUAUCUUUUUUUUUUUAAUUUAGCAUUGACGUGUAGAGUUUCGUUUGUGUGACUAAACUAAAUACUUUAAAACUUAAAUAUAUAGGUUUUGUAAUGGAAAAGAAUAUAAGAAAGACGACUCGUUAGUGUAAAAAUAGAAAAACUUGCGACUUAAAACUAUAAGAAUUCAUCAAUAAUGAAAUUUUAGUCAUAUAGUAUUUGUAAUAUAUCUUUAACAUAGAUAACUAUACAACCUAAAAAGAACUCAUUUUUCUAUUUUAAUGUUUUGUAAUGUCUUCAUUGAGAUUCGCAGCUGAAAAUAUACGCUUGUUGAAAAAUCUCAUAAAUAAGUAAAACAGAAACUAUAUAUUAUGAUGAACAAAAAGGUUUAAUAAAUUUAUAAUAAAAUCUAAUUACCUUGAUUGAGAUGAUAACUAUGGAAAAUAGACCACUAGUGAAAGGGACAAGGUAGCACUUUUACUGGGUGAAGGAAAUUUGGGAAAGCGGAAAGCGAUUAAUUAAAAAAUUAUAACAAAAACUUUUCAUGUAGAGUAAUUUUUUUUAAUUAUUUUAGGGAAAUAAUAAAAAAUUUUAGGCCGGCAUCUCGAAUAUAAAGUAGUAAUAAAAUUAUUAAGCAUCAAAGAGUAAUGAUACAGCCACAAACUCUUGUACAAACUUAUUUUGUACAAAUUGACGUGGUAUUAAUUCAUUGGUUGAAUAAAAAUAUAAAUUAAUAAAAACAAAUCAUCUGGGCCAAGUAAUAUUUAAUUCAACCAAUCUUAUCAUGCCACAUCAGUUUGUACAAAAUAAUUUUAUACAAGAGUUUGUGGCUAUAUCAUUACUCAAGCAUCAAAUUAGGCUUAUAAAUCACCUUAUCACGGUUUUUCUUUACAGUGACAUGUGAUUUUUUUUUCCUAAUAAAGAAGAGAUCCCUUCAACUAAUUUCAAUAUUUUGAGUCUUAACAAAGACUGAUCACUUCCGUUUGAGUACAUUAUAGAUUAAUUUGUCAUUGCUGAAGUCACUCCAAUUAUAUGAUGUUUUGAUAUUCUUAAUUAAAACCAAUUUCAUGUUUCUUUAAAUAUAAUUUUUAAUUCUAUUUUACUUUCUUCGUUGGUACUAUUUGCUUUUUAAAUCAUUUAAUUAUGCAUAUUUUUUAGGCACCCUAAACUUUCAUUCCAUUAAAUAGAAUUAUUACAAUCAAUCAGUACAAUCAGCACAAUAACUUAGGGUUAUUCUACUAAUAAUGUAACUUUUAAAAUACUAUGCGUUUUAAAAAGUAUUAUGGGUUUUAAAAAUAAUCGUAUGUGUGCUAAAUUUUAUUGCUAAAUUGCUAUAAGAAUGUAAACGAUUGAACUAGACUUAAUGUUAAAUUGAAUUUAUUUAUAUAUUUAUAAAUAUGUAUAUAAAAUAUUUUUAUUUUGUAUAAAUGAUAAUUGAUAACUAAAAUAAAUAUUUUAUAUUAUUAAUUUUUUUGUUAUCUUAAUAUAAUGGGAAGUAAUAAUUUUUUUAAGUUAAUGAUUUUAUUUCCUAAUUAAAAAGGAUAAUUUUAGAUUUAUAUAAUAAAUUUGAGAAUACGUAUGAAAUUAUGUUAGGUAUAAAAUUGAUUCUUAAAUCAAAUUUUAAAAAACUACUUAUUCUCAAUUUUUUAAAAUCCAUUAUAAAAUUAAACUAAGCUUACCAAAAAUAAUUUUAAAAAAUUAUCAAAAUCUAAAAUUAACUAUUAACUUUUAAAAACUAUUUUUAAAUUUCUCAACAAUAAUUCCAAACAGCCCUUAGAAUCUCAUUAUUAAAAAUAAAAGCAUAUUGGUUGGUUGUUCAAAGACAGGCAACAGCAGCCGGCUACGUACUUGCAAACGUCACGUGCCAGCGAUUAAAAGCAUUUUAAACAUAUGUGAACAUUGAAUCCAAUGGCAAUGGAGACUGAUUCGACCCUCGUGGAAUUUUUUCAUAUUCCAAAACGGUCGACCCAUUUCGGUCUAUAAAUACCCAAUUGAACCCUUCCGUUUCUUUAAUCAUUUUAUUUUCAGUCGCGUUAAGGAUUCUCAAUUUGCUUGUAAUUCUACUAAACAUGGGAAACAGAGCAGAGGAGGCUAAGCAAAAUCAAGAAGAGAACAACGGUAACAUGGCCAUUGAAACUCCCAUCAUCCCUCUUGUCACUCCUUACAAUAUGGGCAGUCUCAAUCUUUCUCAUAGGUACCGAUUGUACCCACCUUUUAUUUCAUUGAGUUUUUUAUUUUUAUUUUUUUGGAUUUACAUUUUCUUUCGCUGUAUGGAUUUUUGUAUGGCGUUAACUUUAUUGACGAAAGUGACAUCUGCCAAAGUACAUUUGAGUGACGAGCAUUCACAUCAUAAGCACUCAGAUUCUCACUGUUUAUCCAGGGCUCAGCGCAAACUCAGUCGACCACUGAAUCCUUGUCCAUUUAGAAUGAAUGGAUUAGUGAAUAUUUGGAAUGGAUUAGGAAAUAUUUGGGAUUUAGUUACUGUGGUUUUUAAUUCACAGUCUCUAUGUGGAGUGAAUCAGUAGCUAUCGAGUAAAACUGUUGGUGUUUACGGAACACUUUUUAACUGUCCUUUUUUGGUAAUUAAGCAGAAGCACGCCCGGUUAUUAACUUAUAAUACCCUUAACUGAUUAGAAUGUAUGAUCUGAUUUAGUUUCUGUAUCUUCUUUGUAUUUGUUCGUUUGGUCUAUGAUCUGACUGAGAGUUUUACAGAGGCAGUUUAAGUGUAAUGUUGCAAUUUUAUGGGUUUUUUUCUUUUGAGUUUGAGUUAUUGGUGAUGGGGCUAAUUGAAUUGCGGCUUGCUUGUUUUGUUUAUUUCAGAGUUGUUUUAGCACCACUGACUAGACAGAGAUCAUACAACAAUGUUCCUCAGCCACAUGCCAUUUUGUAUUACUCUCAAAGAACCACCAAAGGGGGUUUGCUUAUAGCCGAAGCCACUGGAGUUUCCGACACUGCUCAAGGGUAAUUUUACAUCCGUUUAGCUGUUUUAAGAGUUUUUUGAGGCAUUAAAUGGAUAAGAAAUUGUAUGUUUGAGUUUCGAAAGCAUUACCUGUAUUUAGUUGCUUGAAAAUCUUGUGUGUUCUGUUGUUUCUUUUAUUGUAAGGUAUCCAGAUACACCUGGUAUCUGGACAAAGGAGCAAGUUGAAGCAUGGAAACCGAUUGUAGAUGCUGUUCAUGCCAAAGGUGGGAUCUUCUUUUGUCAGAUUGGGCACGUUGGCAGGGUUUCAAAUCAAGGUGUGUUCUAUAUCUCUCUCUUCUAUUGACAGUUACUGGUUACUUAGUUAUCAGGAUCAUACAUACAUUUUAUUUCUGACAAUAAGAUAAGGUACCGUGAACUUAAGCUAUUGAAUUGCAGUAACUUACAGUAAUCUAACAUGAGGCAAGUGUUGAGAGAAUAAGCAGCUCGGAUUAAUCAAAUGCUCAAAUUGAGUACUGAUCAUCCUACAGAUGCACCAUCCUUUUGCAUUUUAUUUUCAGUUAAUAAAAUGAUAUUCAAUAGUUUUUUUGCAACCUCCAUGUGAUGGAUCUGACUGAUUUUAUAGAAAUUUGAGAAUCAUUUCAACUGGAUCUUCAUUGGUUUUUCCUGUCGUCGAACUGUACAGAUUAUCAGCCAAAUGGUCAAGCUCCAAUUUCCUGUACAGACAAGCCAUUGACACCUCAAAUCCGCACUAAUGGUGUUGAUAUUGCACAAUUCACUCCUCCAAGGCGGCUAACGACAGAUGAAAUCCCUCAAAUUGUGAAUGAUUUCAGGCUUGCUGCAAGAAAUGCAAUUGAGGCUGGUAAAUUCUUUUUUCUGAAAUUAAAAAUUGAAUUGUGGGCAAUAAGUGUUUUAAGGUCGCCACAGGAUGGGUGAUAUUUCACUGGUCUACUUUUCUUGAGAUUAAGGAUAAUAGUAUAAAAGAAUAGUGAGAUUCUUCCAUUCCAUGCAUGGCUAUCAGAAGGAAAGGAAAACUAAACAUAAAUGCAUUAAUAGAUUUUUACUAGGCUUUUGUGGCUUGUAAAUAAUGCUGUUUUAUUGUACUGUAAGGUUUAUGUGAAAACAGUUAAGUUUCUUUACAAUUAUGCUUAUUGUCCCAUAGUUGUAUUUAUCAUAUUGAAUAAAGAAUUUGAAAACUUAAACCUUACCUAAAUGUGUCAUUAAUGUAAAUGGAGUCAUUACAAUAGUCAGAUUAUUUGAAAUGGGUUCUAGAAUCUUACAUGUGACUCCUUUUGUCAUCUAAAAUGAUGGUUGAGACUUUGUUUUUUUUUUAUCUUAUCAACUGUUUUGUUGUUAGUUAAAAUAGGGAUUGAGUACCGGCAACUCUGAGUAGUUUUGUAGCUUUCUGCCUGCAUCUCUGAGACAUCACAAAACUGCCUUGGAUUAACUUUGAGAGCCAACCUAGUAAAUGCUUAAAUACUUUUUCUUGUUCUUAAAAUGAAAGCUAGACCCUCUGUCUGUCUGUCCGCACAAUGCGAGCCUCAGAGCUUUUAGUUAUAUGAGAAGAGGUAGAUAAAUGGAGUGUUCAUGCUGUACAGGUUUUUGGUUUCUAACUUUGUCUUAUGCUGUAUAGGUU
rnacentral:lncRNA from 1 species